rnacentral:tRNA from 1 species
GGGCGCAUAGCUCAGCGGUAGAGCGCUACGUUGACAUCGUAGAGGUCGUAGGUUCGAUCCCUGCUGCGCCCACCA